UGCAGCCCACCGGCAGGUGCGCGGGGGCUGGGCCGCCUAUCGUGCUCGAGCCGCACCGCGCUCGCCGCUUCUUGUGAGGUCGCACUGCGGCCAUGACAGGCCACGAAAGCACUGCGUGGCGGUGGGAGCCCAGGCGUUGCGAUGUGCUUCAGGGCGUGUCUGCCGGCAGCGUGUAAUUGCUCAAUCGCCCACGCGGCCUGCCGUGAUACGUGCUGCCUUGCGGCUGCAGGGGUGGCACCUUCAACGUGUAUCUGGCGGGCGACUCGGGGCCGGUGGUCAUGUGCAUCCACGGCGGCGGCUACAGCGGCCUGACGUGGUCGCUGGUGGCCAAGAAGCUCAAAGACAAGUGAGGAGGAGGCGGAGGAGGGGGAGGAGAAGGCGGUGCGUGGGGGAGGGCCGCCAGCGGCGGGAAUGCUCUUGCUGGCCUUGCGGCUGUAUAGAAGGGCUAUACGCAGAGAUGGGGCCCGAGAAGGGGGGGGCGAACAGGGUGCAGAAAGGGAGCGCGAGGCUGAUCGGUUAUGCACCCAAGCAGUGUUCCAUGAGGGUCGCUGGGGUCGACUAGGGCCUCGAUGACCAUGUUGCAAAACGAGAAACGAUAAGUCUGCAUGCACACUGCUCACAUGGAAAGCACCUGCCCCAUGAACAUAAGAAGGCUGGCGGCGGUGCAACCUCUUGCCGCACAGGUACCGGGUAGUGGCACCCGACAUGCGGGGGCACGGCCUCACAAAGACAGACAAUGACACGGACUUUUCAAAAGAGGUAUGUGCCGCGCCAGACCUUGCGCAGCAGGCCAUGCCUGCUGCAUUGCACGCGGCUCGUCAACCGUGAGCUCCUCACGUCCGUGCUCUGCCCCUGGACUGGCUGCAGACAAUGUCGGACGACAUCAUUGCGAUAUGGGAGCACAUGUUCGGCGCGGCGGCCUCCGCCGCCUCCAGUGGUGCGGCCAACAGCAAGGAGGGGCCGGCCCCCAGCGGCGACAGCACUCCCUCCACGCCAGCGCCCACAGCCCCCGCGACAGCACCACCGGCAGCAGCUCAUGGGCCGGGCACGCCGGCGGCUGACGCGCCCCCGGCAGGUGUACUGGUGGGCCACAGCAUGGGCGGCGGGCUGGCGGUGUGGGCGGGCGCGGCCAAGCGCAUAAAGCGGCUGGAGGGCGUGGUGGUGGUGGACGUGGUAGAGGGCACGGCGCUGGGUGAGUGACGGCGGCGGUGCUGGACAGAUAAUCGCGGCGCGCUGACUGCUCCAACCAUCAUGAAACGCUACUUGCCCGCAUGCGAUGCGUGCCGUGCAACUGUGAACCACUUCCCACGGCCGCUUGCCUCAUGGCCCCGCUCCUCUCCGCCUCUGCCCCGCGCAGCCGCGCUGCCGCACAUGAUGAACGUGCUGGCCGGCCGGCCCGCCUCCUUUCCCUCGCUGGAGGAGGCGGUCACGUGGGCGGUGCGCAGCGGCAUGAGCCGCAACAAGGAGGCGGCAGCUGUGUCCAUGCCGGGGCAGCUGCAGCAGCAGGGUGGCGCAGGGGCUGGGGCCGGGGGCGCGGGAGGAGGGCCGGGCGGCGGCGGCGGCGGCAGCGGCGGCGACGGCGGGGGGCAGUGGACGUGGCGCACGCCCCUGGAGCUCAGCCGGCCGUACUGGGAGGGCUGGUACAUGGGUCUGUCAGAGGCGUUCCUGCAGGUACGUGGCACAGCCUACAUGCCUGCAAGCUUGCAAAGAAUGUGGAAGGGAAGGCUGGGUUGCGCGCCAGUGAGCAUGGCUCAUCGGCCUGCAGUCGUCAACUCUGCUGUAUGUGCCGCAUAAGUCGCUACUACUAGGAUUACGGACUCGUGGCUAGGCCUCUGAAGUGCGUUCGCCCCUGCGCCGUGCAGCUGUCGUGUCCCAAGGCGUUGGUGCUGGCCGGCACCGACCGACUGGACCGGGCGCUGACCAUCGGACAGAUGCAGGUGCGAGACUCAAGACGCCCUAUCGGCCCCCAACCCGCCUGCGCGCCCCUGCCCACAUAACAAGCAUCACGACUCUUGCCCGACCGUUGGUCAGCAUCUACCCCUCCCAUGUCCCGCCUGAUGAACAGCCCAGGCUACUUCUACACCCCAUCUCCUUCAUGCUUUCCCCUCUGCACUGCACUGCCACACGCAGGGCAAGUUCCAGUUGAUACUCAUGCCCACCGCCGGGCACGCCAUCCAAGAGGACGAGCCCGACCGCACCGCAGAGCACCUGCUGGGCUUCCUCAAGCGCUUCCGCGUGGGCGAGCCGCCGAUGGUCUUCCCGCGCGCGCCAACAGGCAUCAAGCCCGUGCUGCCGGUGGUUGCGGGGCCAGUGCUGGAGCACUGAGUAGGGCAACGGAGAAGGCACGGAGGAGGGGCGUGUGCGGGGGGAGGACGCAGGUUAUGCGACAGCUUGGGGCGGCGGUCCGCUCGGCAUCGAUGCGGCUGUCCGUUUCCCAUAGCGCGGACGUGGUGUUUGACACGGUAGGGAAGCUGGGGAGCGGCCGGUGCAGGCUAGCGCGUGACACUGUGUUAGUCACCUUCUUCCGGGUCGCUUGGGGCCGCGGCCAAGGCCGCGGCCCCAGCAGGGCCCAGCUGCCAAAGCGUUUCGGAGAAAGGGAUUCUGGAUGAGAUGUGGCAGGGGUUUUGCUACAGCAACAACUUCGGGG
rnacentral:lncRNA from 1 species